UGGCAGAAAGUUGUUCAGGAGAAGGACU
rnacentral:piRNA from 1 species